AGAAUCAACGCUGGCGGCGUGCCUCAGACAUGCAAGUCGAACGAUUAAAGCUCUCUUCGGAGAGUGCAUAAAGUGGCGCACGGGUGAGUAACACGUAAGUAAUCUACCUUCGAGUGGGGAAUAACGUUCGGAAACGAACGCUAAUACCGCAUAAUGCAGCGGCAUCGCAAGAUGACAGUUGUUAAAGAUUUAUCGCUUGAAGAGGAGCUUGCGGCAGAUUAGCUAGUUGGUAAGGUAAUGGCUUACCAAGGCUACGAUCUGUAUCCGGUCUAAGAGGACGGUCGGACACACUGACACUGAAUAACGGGUCAGACUCCUACGGGAGGCAGCAGUCGGGAAUUUUGGGCAAUGGGCGAAAGCCUGACCCAGCAACGCCGCGUGAAGGAUGAAGUAUUUCGGUAUGUAAACUUCGAAAGAAUAGGAAGAAUUAAUGACGGUACUAUUUAUAAGGUCCGGCUAACUACGUGCCAGCAGCCGC
rnacentral:rRNA from 1 species